GGAAAGUUUAAGAGGUCAAUUGAUCGUAAUCUGUUUCGCGUAUUUUGACUAGUUUGGUUCGAUUUUGGUUCUUCUUGACUUGUUUAUCUAAAAAUAGAUUCCUGAAAAUUUUUGAAGUUUGAAGUCUCGAAUUCUCAUAUUCAACUCUGCCUGCAUAAGUACAUAUGCUAAAUGGGAAUUAAUUUGCGUUCAGUUGUUCUUCUUGGCUUUGUUUGCAUGGAAAAUGUCAUUCCUGGGUGAUUUUCUUGGGGCUAGAAAUUUUUACUUUUUAGUGCAGUUUGCAUGGAUGAGAAAUGCUUUAUUAUGAUUAUUAAUAGUAGUUUCAUAUUUGUUUAUUAUAGAGAAUAGUUUGAAUAAUCUUAUUGCGGGGUGUAGAUUUGGUUUUUCCUGUUGCUGCAGAAAAUAAUUCAGUUGGGUUAUUUUUUACUUUUUGGGAGCUGAACGUGUAUAGAAAUCUGUAGGUUAAUAUGUACUAUGAAUAAUGAUAGGGAACAUGGAGUGAUAAUCACCCCCCUAGCGUUUGAAAGAACUAUUUUCCAUGUGUUUUUAUGAAAGGAAUUAGUCAUUCAUUGUCUUCAUUUGAUUACUCUCAUGCCUGUAUUGCAUGUCCAUUAUGAAUGUGUUCUUUCAGCUCAUUACUCAUAUUGAGUUGUGCUUAUUUACUCCUAAAUAGGUCCCUUUUGUUUAUAGAAGUAUCAUAUCAUUUUCC
rnacentral:misc_RNA from 1 species